rnacentral:rRNA from 1 species
CGCGUAGACGGCUUUUUAAGUCUGGAGUGAAAGUCCUGCUUUCAAGGUGGGAAUUGCUUUGGAGACUGGAAAGCUUGAGUGCGGAAGAGGUAAGUGGAAUUCCCAGUGUAGCGGUGAAAUGCGUAGAGAUUGGGAAGAACACCAGUGGCGAAGGCGACUUACUGGGCCGUAACUGACGUUGAUGCGCGAAAGCGUGGGGAGCGAAACA